UACGUAGGGCGCAAGCGUUAUCCGGAAUUAUUGGGCGUAAAGAGCUCGUAGGCGGUUUGUCGCGUCUGCCGUGAAAGUCCGGGGCUCAACUCCGGAUCUGCGGUGGGUACGGGCAGACUAGAGUGAUGUAGGGGAGACUGGAAUUCCUGGUGUAGCGGUGAAAUGCGCAGAUAUCAGGAGGAACACCGAUGGCGAAGGCAGGUCUCUGGGCAUUAACUGACGCUGAGGUGCGAGAGCGUGGGGAGCAAACAGG
rnacentral:rRNA from 1 species